AAGCUCAGCCUCAGACUGAAAGAUGGCCAAUGGCUCUACCUGUUUGGACAGCUUUUAAGAUAUCUUCUUGCAAAGCUUGUGCCUGUUGCUGCUCAUCCUUCCACUGGGCACUAGCAAGAGGAGCCUGGCUCUGUUGUCUUUGCUCCCUUCCAUCAGAUUUUGAGAAAGAGCAAGACAACUACUGUUAAGGAAGUCAAAAUUCUGUUCUCUGCAAUUAAAUGACACUUUUUUACCUAAAGAGACAUUCAAAUGAUGAAAAUGCACAUGGAGGUGGACUUGCAGAAUCAUGUAAACAUCUCUGAUAUUUUGGUUAUUGUGGCUUCCUUUUACUGUUGACUGCUUACAGUUUGAAACAGCAUCAGCUCUGGUAGGCAGGUAUGUUAAAAAAAAAAAAAAAAGAAAAAAAAAGGAAAUAAAUACUUGCAUUACUGGUGUUGCA